GCUGUGAUGGCCGAGCGCUUAAGGUGUUGGACUUGAAAUCCAAGGGGGUUUCCCCAUGCAGGUUCAAAUCCUGCUCACAGCA
rnacentral:tRNA from 1 species